rnacentral:rRNA from 1 species
UACGAAGGGGGCUAGCGUUGUUCGGAAUCACUGGGCGUAAAGCGCACGCAGGCGGAUCGUUAAGUCGGGGGUGAAAUCCCGAGGCUCAACCUCGGAACUGCCUUCGAUACUGGCGAUCUUUGAGUCCGGGAGAGGUGAGUGGAACUCCGAGUGUAGAGGUGAAAUUCGUAGAUAUUCGGAAGAACACCAGUGGCGAAGGCGGCUCACUGGCCCGGUACUGACGCUCAGGUGCGAAAGCGUGGGGAGCGAACAGG